CCUGGCUGGGCUGGCUGACAGCUCCCAAGUCCUCCGCAAGUUACUUUGCCACACACCCUCUCCCCUCCACAAGUUCAACCAAGCUCUUGAUGGAGCUGAAAGAACACAGACCUUGGAGCCAGAAAGACCUGAGUUGAAGUUCUGGCUCUCACCCCCCGGCUGUGUGGCUCAGGGUUCAGCUCUUCACCUCUCUGAGCCUCCAGACUCCUCACCUCCAACACGAGCCUGGACAUUAGAGAAGAAUGUGCCUGGUAACGCCACCACGCAGGCCUUCCCUUCAGCUGACAAAAUGCAUUAGCGCCAGAGGGGAGGAGACGUCUCCCCCAUGCAAGACACGAGUCAUAAAAACCCUGUUUUGUUCUCAGCUGACCAGCCAGUGCAUGUGCCCGGCUCUCUGCUCCUGGAAUGCCCCAGGACGUCAGGCAUGGGCCCGCCAUCGGGGUUGGAAAAACUUCCUCGGGAGUUCUUCCUCAGUGGGAAAUGGACUUCUGACUUCUUUCUGUCUCAGCCUGGGUCCCUAAAUGUGGAUUUCCCAGCUAAUUGCAAAAGAAAACAUAGAUGAAGCAAGAAAUAAACCUUGGCUGAUGUAAUCCACAGAUACUUUGGGAUAAUUUGUUACUGUAGCACAACCUGGACCAUCCUGACUGAUACAACAACCAACCUUUCUUAAACAGCUCCUUGCUGCGCUUUACCCCAGAACAAACCAAAUAAAGUUGCUCACAUGAGAACU